UUUUGACCUCGGAUCAGGUAGGGAUACCCGCUGAACUUAAGCAUAUCAAUAAGCCGGAG
rnacentral:rRNA from 1 species